ensembl:lncRNA
CCCCCCCCCCCCCCCCCAACACCUCCCUAACAGCUCACGAUCCAAUCGACAUACGAAUCUGGAAUGAUUGACAGUUGCAUAGUUGUUUUGAGCUUUUUGAUGUUAACUGCCCCACCCUCAUAAGCCCCGCCCCCACCCACCCCCACCUUCUCACAUUCAUUAUGUUUUGACGCCGCGUCCUCGUGUUCUAUCACGGUAAAUGCAGAAUGUUUUGCGUUGAUUAAAAUGAAAUAAAUUCUGUCAGGGUGUGUGUCACUGAGAUAACGUUACACACUGCAUACAGCUAACAUCAGUCACACGGAUUUAUUAAUGAUCACGCAAAUUAUAUCUGGGCCAGAAGAGUUCAAAUGCUGAAUAUUUAGACACUUCACACGAACACUUUACAAACAAUUCACAUGUGAAUAACGAGUAGAAAGCAAACGUUGUCAAGCCCGUCGCCAUAGAAACGGCAUUGUGUGUAUAUAUGGAGUUUUACAGUAACCCCGAGGCACUUUGGGGGGAUAAAAGCUGACACUUGUCUGUUUUAGUUUUAGAAAAGUUCAUGUGUAUGCUUUAUUAUUAAUUUCUGUAGGUUUUCCUAGAAUAGAAAGAAAUGAAGGGGGCGUGUAAACUUUCCGCCGCGUCCAGCGGGACCGCGCUUUGUUCCUCUUCAGAGCUUGGCAGGUCUGCUGAAGUGUAAACCACUAGACUGAGCCCAGCGUGAGGACUGCGUGAGACGAGAUGAACUGUGGAUUUGUUUCUGCUGCUAUGUGCCAAGUUCUUAAACUCACUCAGCACUGCUGAGUUCUGGAUUCUGAUUGGUUGUGGAAGGUGUUGAUUAACUUCCUCUAACAGCAGCUGGUUCACAGGGUGGUGUACAGUAGACGCUCCACAUGAGGAAAGCGCGUGUAAUUGUUGAUGUGUUGUAAGGAGAUGUUUAUGUAACCUGUAAGGAAGGAGUCUCCAGAGUCAGCGCUGUGUAACAGUCAGACGUACUAACUUGUGUCUCUGAACAUUAAAUGUAAAUAUAAAUGCAUUAAAAGUUUGGUGUGUUGUUUUUUUAAUAGAUGAAAAAAUAUCUGGAAAAGUGCUGUCAUAUAAAAGGAAUAAAACAUUUGGGAGAAAUAACCAAUGUUGCCGCGGUAACAGUAACAUCGCUUCAUCACACCAUCCACACACACACACAGAC